rnacentral:rRNA from 1 species
UCUAGUGGCGAACGGGUGAGUAACGCGUAAGCAAUCUGCCCCUAAGACGAGGAUAACAGUUGGAAACGACUGCUAAGACUGGAUAGGAGACAAGAAGGCAUCUUCUUGUUUUUAAAAGACCUAGCAAUAGGUAUGCUUAGGGAGGAGCUUGCGUCACAUUAGUUAGUUGGUGGGGCAAAGGCCUACCAAGACUAUGAUGUGUAGCCGGGCUGAGAGGUUGAACGGCCACAUUGGGACUGAGACACGGCCCAAACUCCUACGGGAGGCAGCAGUAGGAAAUUUUCGGCAAUGGAGGAAACUCUGACCGAGCAACGCCGCGUGAACGAUGAAGUAUUUCGGUACGUAAAGUUCUUUUAUUAGGGAAGAAUAAAUGAUGGAAAAAUCAUUCUGACGGUACCUAAUGAAUAAGCCCCGGCAAACUAUGUGCCAGCAGCCGCGGUAAUACAUAGGGGGCAAGCGUUAUCCGGAAUUAUUGGGCGUAAAGGGUGCGUAGGCGGUUAAAUAAGUUUAUGGUCUAAGUGCAAUGCUCAACAUUGUGAUGCUAUAAAAACUGUUUAGCUAGAGUAAGAUAGAGGCAAGUGGAAUUCCAUGUGUAGUGGUAAAAUGCGUAAAUAUAUGGAGGAACACCAGUAGCGAAAGCGGCUUGCUGGGUCUUUACUGACGCUGAGGCACGAAAGCGUGGGGAGCAAACAGGAUUAGAUACCCUGGUAGUCCACGCCGUAAACGAUGAGUACUAAGUGUCGGGGUAAAACUCGGUACUGAAGUUAACACAUUAAGUACUCCGCCUGAGUAGUACGUACGCAAGUAUGAAACUUAAAGGAAUUGACGGGACUCCGCACAAGCGGUGGAUCAUGUUGUUUAAUUCGAAGAUACACGAAAAAUCUUACCAGGUCUUGACAUACUCUGCAAAGCUAUAGAAAUAUAGUGGAGGUUAUCAGGGAUACAGGUGGUGCAUGGUUGUCGUCAGCUCGUGUCGUGAGAUGUUGGGUUAAGUCCCGCAACGAGCGCAACCCUUAUUGUUAGUUACCAGCACGUAAUGGUGGGGACUUUAGCAAGACUGCCAGUGAUAAAUUGGAGGAAGGUGGGGACGACGUCAAAUCAUCAUGCCCCUUAUGACCUGGGCUACAAACGUGAUACAAUGGCUGUUACAAAGGGUAGCUGAAGCGCAAGUUUUUGGCGAAUCUCAAAAAAACAGUCUCAGUUCGGAUUGAAGUCUGCAACUCGACUUCAUGAAGUUGGAAUCGCUAGUAAUCGCGAAUCAGCAUGUCGCGGUGAAUACGUUCUCGGGGUUUGUACACACCGCCCGUCAAACCACGAAAGUUGGUAAUACCCAAAGCCGGUGGCCUAACUUCGCAAGAAGAGGGAACCGUCUAAGGUAGGGUCGAUGAUUGGGGUUAAG